AUGUUUAUCUAUGUGAUAGCAGUGAUCAUUACCUUUUCAGGAAUUUGUGGAGGAGACAGUGUAACACAGCUCCAAUCUAUUGUGACAGUGACUGAAGGGGAGGAUGUUGCUCUGCAGUGUAAUUAUACAGUUGCAAACACCGGCUCUGACUACCUGUUCUGGUACCGUCACUUAACCAACAAAGCUCCAGAAUAUAUACUCAGAACAUCCACCAAAAACAGGAACAAGGACCACGCGGACUUUGCAAAAGAACGUUUCUCAACGAAUGUGUCUAAAGCGGAGAGAACCGUCCCAUUAAAUAUAUUGCAAGUGAGAGUUACAGACUCCGCGGGGUAUUACUGUGCACUGAGCCCCACAGUGGCACAGAUCAGCGAUUCCACCCUACAAAAACUGCCAUGUGGAACCCUGUAG